ACGAACGCUGGCGGCAUGCCUAACACCUGCAAGUCGAACGAGACCUUCGGGUCUAGUGGCGCACGGGUGCGUAACGCGUGGGAACCUGCCCUUAGGUUCGGAAUAACUCCCCGCAAGGGGUGCUAAUACCGGAUAAUGUCUUCGGACCAAAGAUUUAUCGCCUUUGGAUGGGCCCGCGUUGGAUUAGCUAGUUGGUAGGGUAAAAGCCUACCAAGGCGACGAUCCAUAGCUGGUCUGAGAGGAUGAUCAGCCACACUGGGACUGAGACACGGCCCAGACUACUACGGGAGGCAGCAGUGGGGAAUAUUGGACAAUGGGCGAAAGCCUGAUCCAGCAAUGCCGCGUGAGUGAUGAAGGCCUUAGGGUUGCAAAGCUCUUUUACCCGGGAUGAUAAUGACAGUACCGGGAGAAUAAGCUCCGGCUAACUCCGUG
rnacentral:rRNA from 1 species